UACGAAGGUCCCAAGCGUUGUUCGGAUUUACUGGGCGUAAAGCGUCUGUAGGCGGUUUGGUAAGUCAGAUGUGAAAUCCCGAGGCUCAACCUCGGAACUGCAUCCGAUACUGCCAAACUAGAGGGUCGGAGGGGAGUCUGGAAUUCUCGGUGUAGCAGUGAAAUGCGUAGAUAUCGAGAGGAACACUCGUGGCGAAGGCGAGACUCUGGACGACACCUGACGCUGAGAGACGAAGGCCAGGGUAGCGAAAAGG
rnacentral:rRNA from 1 species